rnacentral:rRNA from 1 species
AUUGAACGCUGGCGGCAUGCCUUACACAUGCAAGUCGAACGGCAGCACGGGAGCAAUCCUGGUGGCGAGUGGCGAACGGGUGAGUAAUAUAUCGGAACGUGCCCAGUCGUGGGGAUAACGUAGCGAAAGCUACGCUAAUACCGCAUACGAUCUAUGGAUGAAAGCGGGGGAUCGCAAGACCUCGCGCGAUUGGAGCGGCCGAUAUCAGAUUAGGUAGUUGGUGAGGUAAAGGCUCACCAAGCCGACGAUCUGUAGGCUGGUCUGAGAGGACGACCAGCCACACUGGGACUGAGACACGGCCCAGACUCCUACGGGAGGCAGCAGUGGGGAAUUUUGGACAAUGGGCGCAAGCCUGAUCCAGCAAUGCCGCGUGC